rnacentral:rRNA from 1 species
GAUGAACGCUGGCGGCGUGCCUAAUACAUGCAAGUCGAGCGAACAGACGAGGAGCUUGCUCCUCUGACGUUAGCGGCGGACGGGUGAGUAACACGUGGAUAACCUACCUAUAAGACUGGGAUAACUUCGGGAAACCGGAGCUAAUACCGGAUAAUAUAUUGAACCGCAUGGUUCAAUAGUGAAAGACGGUUUUGCUGUCACUUAUAGAUGGAUCCGCGCCGCAUUAGCUAGUUGGUAAGGUAACGGCUUACCAAGGCGACGAUGCGUAGCCGACCUGAGAGGGUGAUCGGCCACACUGGAACUGAGACACGGACCAGACUCCUACGGGAGGCAGCAGUAGGGAAUGUUCCGCAAUGGGCGAAAGCCUGACGGAGCAACGCCGCGUGAGUGAUGAAGGUCUUCGGAUCGUAAAACUCUGUUAUUAGGGAAGAACAAAUGUGUAAGUAACUAUGCACGUCUUGACGGUACCUGAUCAGAAAGCCACGGCUAACUACGUG